rnacentral:rRNA from 1 species
UACGUAGGUGGCGAGCGUUGUCCGGAUUUACUGGGCGUAAAGAGCGCGCAGGCGGUCGUUCAAGUCGCGUGUGAAAGCCCCCGGCUCAACUGGGGAGGGUCACGCGAUACUGAUCGACUCGAAGGCAGGAGAGGGAAGUGGAAUUCCCGGUGUAGUGGUGAAAUGCGUAGAUAUCGGGAGGAACACCAGUGGCGAAGGCGGGUUGCUGGGCUGACACUGACGCUGAUGUGCGAAAGCCAGGGGAGCGAACGGG